CGUUGCAUGUUAAGCACUGAACAUAUGGUCAAUCAGUGUUUCCUAAAGUCCGAGAUGACGUCCUCAAAUGUCUUGUUUUGUCCACAACUCAAAGAUAUUCAGUUUUACUGUCAGAGAUC